ensembl:lncRNA
ACACAAACUGCCUCAGGAGGAUACACUGUCAAUAGAAUAGCAUCCAUAGAACCAGUAUAUAAACAGAACAGUGAAAUCUUGUGGUUAUAUUGAAGUACAGAGCAAGGCUUUGGGGAAGCAGUUAUGAGGAGAAUGUUAGGUGGGCUGUCAAGUGUGUAUCGUGUUUGGGGACAGAGAGGGUGAUUUCUACCUCUGCUCCCUCCGUCUGGGCAGUCCGCCUGGAAGAGGUGGACAUUCCCAACUCAGUCUGAAGAUGGCCCUUUUGGACACUGGAUUUCUCUCCUUCCUUUAUAAUCGUAUGGUUCAGUUCCUGCAGUUUCAGGGUAAUCAUUAUCAGGUUGGGAACUGACAUACUGGUUACUGGGUGCCAGCCAAAGCUCACGACAGCCAUUCCCUCACGGAAACACUGAGUUGUACAUAAAAGUCCCAACAAGUAUCAGUACAAGGCUGAUGGUGUCUUUUUUUAUUCUUUGGGCUGAAGUGAGAAAUGUGGAUAAACAUGGCAGAUUAUGCCCUAUAACCUCUGGUCCCUCCCCAAGCCCCACUAAAAGAAGGGGUAUAAACCUACAGGGACAAAGACAAAAGGAGAGAAUGUGAUACCGGACAAGAAAGAUCAACAAUACAUGAAGAGUAGGGGGUUGAGUGCUGUCUCGCCAGAGUGGAUAAUGAUGCCCACAGAGGAGACAGCUAAGAAGAAGCAGGCCUGCUUGCUUCCAAAAAUAGUUGGAAGGCUCAGGGACAGGAGGCACCAAUCAACUCUCAAAGCUGGGAGAGGGUGGGAAGGAACAUAGGAGGAAAAGGCUGAAGAUUUAUCUCAGGAGGUCUCUUUCCCCAGUCCAAACAGCCAGACAGUUGUUUCUCUUCUGCUCCAGCAGGAAACAGGAGAUUUAAUUCCUGGGUAAUUGAACCAGAGAGAAUCCAGUUUGAGAGAAGAGCAAGAGACAGCAGAGAAGAGCCGGAAGCUAGAUGGAGAAUGAGGGGUGCGUUUACCCAUCAUUCUCUGACUCAGGAAAGUGAUCUGCUUGGACUAAAUCUAAGAGCUUCCUUGUCCUCUGGCCUGAGGGGAGCCUUGGUGGGAAACACUGAAGGAGGAAGCAGAGCAAAGCCAGGGUAUCAAUCCCUGCAUUUCUCCCUCUGGUUUCACCACAGACCAGCUGCUGCCUUCAGCUGAAAACCACAGCGCCCAUCAGGUGGCCCUUCCUGCAUAGUUGUUCUCUGCUUCUGGGACCCAUGACUGGACCCCUUUCUCACCCCUGAAGGCCUGGGGGUGAAAUUCCCCUGCUACUGCUGUCUCUGAGGAACUGCACUAUUUCUUGUGGUUUCUCUCCAUCUUGUUUGCAACUGUGUAACUAGUUCCUCUAUGAAACUAUGCCAUCUAUUUCCCUUCAGUACUCUGAUACACUUGUCAAAAAUCAGUGUUCAGUGCCCAGUGACUGUACUGGAAAGGCUAGAACUUUUAGCAAGGCUAUCACCAACUGCAGAGUAAGUUUAAUGCUUUUCCCUUUGAGAAGCUGAGAACUUCUGGAGAAGACACUUCAAGAAGUCAUGGUAAAAUGUUCUUUUUUUGUCAUUUUUAAAUUAUGUGUGUAUGUAUUUAUUUUUGGCUGUACUGGGUCUUUGCUGCAUGGACUGUUCUCUAGUUGCAGUGAGCAGGCUUUUCACUGUGGUAGCUUCUCUUUUGGAGCGUGGGCCCCAGGUGUGAGAGCUUUGGUAGUUGUGGCGCUUGGGCCCUAGAGCGCAGGUUCAGUAGUUGUGACACAUGGGCUUAGUUGCCCCGUGGCAUGUGGAAACUUCCCAGACCAGGGCUUGAACCUGUCUCCUGCACUGGCAAGUGGAUUCUUAACCAUUGGACCACCAGGGAACUCCAGAGUAUAUGGUUCUAAAACAAAAACUGGCCAACUUUUGGGCAGAAAAUUUCUUCAUUUAAAGAACUCUGAAAACAAAUCUCAGUCAUCUGAUCUCCAUUGUCAAGUUUACAGUAAUCAGACCGUAAAUCAUCAGCUAAUAAUUGUCUUUAUCAAUUCUAAACAUCUAGCAAUAGUCAUCUGUAAGGAGAAUGGUAAGAUUCUGCUCCAUAUUAGGGGAGAAUUUGGAAGACUAGAAGUAGAGCUACUCUAAAAGCAGGAUCCUGAGCUCUGCNNNNNNNNNNNNNNNNNNNNNNNNNNNNNNNNNNNNNNNNNNNNNNNNNNNNNNNNNNNNNNNNNNNNNNNNNNNNNNNNNNNNNNNNNNNNNNNNNNNCUCUAAAAGCAGGAUCCUGAGCUCUGCCUGGACAUAUGUGGUCCCAGCAGAGAGGCUUCGUAAUUUUUCUGGACCUUCAUUCACGCAUUUGUAAAAUAUGGGAAUUAGGCGAAUGAUUCUUAAACUGUCUUUCAGCUCUAUGGGAUUAUGAGGAGGUGGAAGGGAAGAUAUAGUGUGGUAUGUGGAUGAGGAGAAAGGUGUACAGUGUGUGGGCAGGGAGGACUGAAGAGUGUUGUGUAAAAGGACUUGGUCUUUAGUCUAGACAUUGAGGUAGAGAAUGGUGCUGAAAAAAUCAGCACUGAAAAGGAUACAUUUGGGAUGCAACUUGGGAUAGUUCUUGAUGAUGCAGAGUCAAGCAAGAAGUG